rnacentral:rRNA from 1 species
UACGUAGGGUGCGAGCGUUGUCCGGAAUUAUUGGGCGUAAAGAGCUCGUAGGCGGUUUGUUGCGUCGGCCGUGAAAACCUGCAGCUUAACUGUGGGCCUGCGGCCGAUACGGGCAGACUUGAGUUCGGUAGGGGAGACUGGAAUUCCUGGUGUAGCGGUGAAAUGCGCAGAUAUCAGGAGGAACACCGGUGGCGAAGGCGGGUCUCUGGGCAUUAACUGACGCUGAGGAGCGAAAGCAUGGGGAGCGAACAGG